rnacentral:tRNA from 1 species
GCCGGUGAGCUUCUGGAAGCGGAACGGAUUCCAACCCCGUUUCCCGGGGGUUCGAAUCCCUCCACCGGUG